CAACUACCCAGUGUUCCCAACGAAGAAAUAUUGAGUUUACUAAAAAAAUUCCACAGUAUAAAGUUUAUAAGUGAAGUUUAUGUGUACCUUUUCUGGCUGCUACACCAGAUAGGCUUGUUUGGGACAAUAUUUCGCAAAAAUUUCACCUUUUGGAAAUAAAAACAUUAGUGAAAGGUGGUUUUAUGAACAAAUUAAUUGUGGCCGAGUGUAUAAAUGAAGGCUUCGCUUCAUUUUUGGAAAUAGUCAGUGGAAGAAUAGUCUCUAUGGCUGAUAGUAUUUUUGAUAUUAGCGGUAUUUUUCUAGUAAACUCAAAAUUUCUCCGUUGGGAACACUGGGUAGUUGGUAUUGUCUCAAAACAAUAUGGCGACGGUGAAUAUGGUCAAUUCCUUGUUUUUUUAUUCUGUAUUUUCAUUUAUAACCAUUAGAAGUGAUAUUAUGUAUGCCUAGCAAGUGUUUUUUGUGUGGUUUCACUUAUAUUGUAGGAGGUGAAAUUAGUCUUCAUAGACUUCCAUCGAAUCAACUUGAACGAGAAAAAUGGUUGUAGAGAAUUUCUUGGAACCGACCGAUGUUGGAAAAAAAAAAUUUUUCUUUGCUCAAAUCACUUUCCUGAAGAUUGCUUCCGAUUAAUGAUACUAUGAAAGAGGCUUAUACCAGGAAGUUUGCCUUCUCCUUCUGAAAUCAAAUUGGAAAUACCUCUACUUCCAUUGAAUCAACUUGAACGAGAAAAAUGGUUGCAGAGAAUUUCUUGGAACCGACCGAUGUUGGAAAAAAAAAAUUUUUCUUUGCUCUCAAAUCACUUUCCUGAAGAUUGCUUCCGAUUAAUGAUACUAUGAAAGAGGCUUAUACCAGGAAGUUUGCCUUCUCCUUCUGAAAUCAAAUUGGAAAUACCUCUAAUCCAUCUGCUAUUGCGAAAUUCAAAGCACCAAAAGAACGUAUUUUCAAAUAAAAUGCCUCACACUCAUGCAGCCUUCAAUUGUACAGCGAGAUUAGAAAAAAGCCAAAAGUUGAAAUUUCUUUCUUCACAGUUUUCCAAAGGAUGACAAAUUAAGGGAACAGUGGAUGAAAGCUGAAGAAGAAUUGAUUUCAACCCUUUUUCUUUGUUGAAAAUAUGCAGCAACCGUUUUCAUCAACAUGAUUUAUUAAUAUUCAUGGUACAAAAACUCUGAAAAAAGAUGUUAUUCCUUCAGUUUUCAGUUUCUCCAAUUAUAUGCCUGAGAGAUUAAAUUAUGGAGAUAAAUGUCUUGAAGAUAAUAUUGAAGGUACAUUAAUAUUUUAUUUUUUAUGGAUGUGAAAUAUCUAUUUAUUUUCCGUCCCUUAUUUUAUUCAUUCAUAUAAAUAAUUAUUGCAAAAGAAAUUGAACAGGAUCAGCCAGAGACAAAACAGCAAGAGAUGGGGCAACCAGAGAUGGUACAACUGUUUAUAAUAUCAAAAUCCUCUGCUGCUGCCAUGGAAGAUUUUCCCCCCAGAUUGAAUACUAAUAUUAGAAAUACUAGAAAUUAGAAACCUGGGAAUGAGGAUUUCAAAGAAUGGAACACUAGACGAAGUAAUAUCUGAGAGAAACAUCCAAAGAAAACCAAUAAUCUCAAUGUUAAAUAGGAUAUUAUCGAUUAAAAACAUAAAUGUGAAUAAUAAGAAAAAAUUUACUCAAUAGUUAGGAGCAUAAUAACUUACAGCUCUAAAGUGGACAGCAGCUGGAAAGUCUGAAAGGGACAUGAUACCAAAUGAUACAAUAAAACAUAGAAUGGAAAUAAGACAUGAUAUUAUUGAUCUUAAGAACACAACAGUUGGUUUGGUACAGACAAGUCCAUAAAUACUUAUGAUACUAGGUGUGAUUUAAACAAUAAUAAUUUUGAAAUUUUCAGUUUUUUAGAUUGCCAUACUAAAAAUAAUGAGGAACAUAUUCUGUGCCGUGGCUUAAAAAUUCAUCUUUAGAGAAGCUCAUUCACUGAAAGGCUGAAAAUGGGAAAAAUUAAUGUAUCAUAACUGAUCCUUGGAGAGAUAAGGAGAAGAAGAUCCAUAAAUUUCAAGAUUUGGAGGAGUUUAAAACUAAGAAGAGGAAGAGCUCAAUCCUGAUAUUUUUUCAAUAUCCUGGAUAUUAAAUGAUUGGAAGAGUGAAUAUCGUCCUUAGUGGAGAGUGAGAAAUCCGACUGCGAAUAUGUUCUUCCUCAUGCGCUGAUAGGCUAGAGUCGGACCAUUUUUUAAAUCAUUUAUUGUAAUAAUGUAUUUCGAACAGCAAUAAAAACUUAAUGAAUACAAUUAAAUAAAUAAAUAAGUUUA